UGAAGAGUUUGAUCAUGGCUCAGAUUGAACGCUGGCGGCAGGCCUAACACAUGCAAGUCGAACGGUAACAGGAAGCAGCUUGCUGCUUUGCUGACGAGUGGCGGACGGGUGAGUAAUGUCUGGGAAACUGCCUGAUGGAGGGGGAUAACUACUGGAAACGGUGGCUAAUACCGCAUAACGUCGCAAGACCAAAGAGGGGGACCUUCGGGCCUCUUGCCAUCAGAUGUGCCCAGAUGGGAUUAGCUUGUUGGUGAGGUAACGGCUCACCAAGGCGACGAUCCCUAGCUGGUCUGAGAGGAUGACCAGCCACACUGGAACUGAGACACGGUCCAGACUCCUACGGGAGGCAGCAGUGGGGAAUAUUGCACAAUGGGCGCAAGCCUGAUGCAGCCAUGCCGCGUGUAUGAAGAAGGCCUUCGGGUUGUAAAGUACUUUCAGCGGGGAGGAAGGUGUUGUGGUUAAUAACCGCAGCAAUUGACGUUACCCGCAGAAGAAGCACCGGCUAACUCCGUGCCAGCAGCCGCGGUAAUACGGAGGGUGCAAGCGUUAAUCGGAAUUACUGGGCGUAAAGCGCACGCAGGCGGUCUGUCAAGUCGGAUGUGAAAUCCCCGGGCUCAACCUGGGAACUGCAUUCGAAACUGGCAGGCUUGAGUCUUGUAGAGGGGGGUAGAAUUCCAGGUGUAGCGGUGAAAUGCGUAGAGAUCUGGAGGAAUACCGGUGGCGAAGGCGGCCCCCUGGACAAAGACUGACGCUCAGGUGCGAAAGCGUGGGGAGCAAACAGGAUUAGAUACCCUGGUAGUCCACGCCGUAAACGAUGUCUACUUGGAGGUUGUGCCCUUGAGGCGUGGCUUCCGGAGCUAACGCGUUAAGUAGACCGCCUGGGGAGUACGGCCGCAAGGUUAAAACUCAAAUGAAUUGACGGGGGCCCGCACAAGCGGUGGAGCAUGUGGUUUAAUUCGAUGCAACGCGAAGAACCUUACCUGGUCUUGACAUCCACAGAACUUUCCAGAGAUGGAUUGGUGCCUUCGGGAACUGUGAGACAGGUGCUGCAUGGCUGUCGUCAGCUCGUGUUGUGAAAUGUUGGGUUAAGUCCCGCAACGAGCGCAACCCUUAUCCUUUGUUGCCAGCGGUCCGGCCGGGAACUCAAAGGAGACUGCCAGUGAUAAACUGGAGGAAGGUGGGGAUGACGUCAAGUCAUCAUGGCCCUUACGACCAGGGCUACACACGUGCUACAAUGGCGCAUACAAAGAGAAGCGACCUCGCGAGAGCAAGCGGACCUCAUAAAGUGCGUCGUAGUCCGGAUUGGAGUCUGCAACUCGACUCCAUGAAGUCGGAAUCGCUAGUAAUCGUGGAUCAGAAUGCCACGGUGAAUACGUUCCCGGGCCUUGUACACACCGCCCGUCACACCAUGGGAGUGGGUUGCAAAAGAAGUAGGUAGCUUAACCUUCGGGAGGGCGCUUACCACUUUGUGAUUCAUGACUGGGGUGAAGUCGUAACAAGGUAACCGUAGGGGAACCUGCGGUUGGAUCACC
rnacentral:rRNA from 1 species